AUCUCACGCAUUGCAAACAUGAUUCCAGGAGA
rnacentral:piRNA from 1 species